UACGUAGGGUGCUAGCGUUGUUCGGAAUCAUUGGGCGUAAAGCGCGUGUAGGCUGUUAAUUAAGUCGGGUGUGAAAUCCCUGGGCUCAACCGAGGAAGUGCAUCCGAAACUAAUUAGCUAGAAGAUGGUAGAGAAAGGUGGAAUUCCAAGUGUAGAGGUGAAAUUCGUAGAUAUUUGGAGGAAUACCGGUGGCGAAGGCGGCCUUUUGGGCCAUUCUUGACGCUGAGACGCGAAAGCGUGGGUAGCAAACAGG
rnacentral:rRNA from 1 species